ensembl:snRNA U6 U6 spliceosomal RNA
GUGCUCACAUCAGCAGAAUACAUACUAAAACUGCAAUGAUACAGAGAAGAUUAGCACAGCACCUGCAAAAGGAUGGCAUGCAAACUUGGGAAAUGUUCCAUAUUUUU